AGGAAGGCUUUAACUGGUGAAACAGGGAUGACUGAGCACUUAAACUUCACUGAAGCUGUAGUCAUUUCAAAACAAAAUGAAGAAUGUCUCGAAAUUGCUCUCAUUGUUCAUGUAUUUACUCGCGUAUGGUGUGUCCGGUGUUGAUGGGACAGUGUCUGUGAUGGAGGGAGAUUCAGUCACUUUAAAAUAUCUUAUGGAAAUAAACCAACAAUAAGACAUUGUGUGGAAUUUUAAUAACAUCCCCAUCGCUCAAUUCACUGGAGAUCCCAGUAAGAUCUGUACAGAUGUUCGGUGUGAUAAUCGUAAUAAGAGAUUCAGAGACAGACUGAAGCUGGACAAUCAGACUGGAUCUCUGACCAUCAUGAACACCAGAACCACAGACUCUGGACUUUAUGAUGUAUGGAUCUCCAGAAAAAAACGUGGCGGUGGAGGAUACUCUGUUGUUGUUCGUGGUGUGUCUGGUGCUGAUACAGAUGUGUCGGUGCUGGAGGGAGAUUCAGUCACUCUACACACUGGUGUUAAAACAAACCAACAAGAAAAAAUUAAAUGGUAUUUUAAUGACAUUCGAAUAGCUCAAAUCAGUGUAGACCGGAGUAAGAUCUGUACAGAUGUUCAGUGUAAAGAUGGUGAUGAGAGAUUCAGAGACAGACUGAAGCUGGACAAACGGACUGGAUCUCUGACCAUCACAAACACCAGAACCACAGACACUGGACUUUAUAAACUACAGAUCAUCAACAACAGAAUCAGCAUCAUGAAGCAAUUCAGUGUCAGUUCAUCUGGUGUUGGUAUCGAUGAGGUGUCAGCAAAUGUGAUGGAGGGGGAUUCAAUCAUUCUAAAUACUAAUGUUAAAACAAACCUACAAGAAAACAUUAGAUGGUAUUUUAAUGGCACCCAUAUAGCUCAAAUCAAUGGAGAGCUCAAUAAGACCUGUACAGAUGUUCAAUGUAAUAAAGGCACUGAGAUAUUCAGAGACAGACUGAAGCUGGAUCAUCAGACUGGAUCUCUGACCAUCACAAACACCAGAACCACAGACUCUGGACUUUAUCAACUAGAGAUCAUCAGCGAAAGAAUCAGCAUCAUGAAGCACUUCAGUGUUGUUGUAGAUGGUGUUUCUGCUGCUGAUCGAGAUAAAAUGAGAAGAAAGUCAGUGAAGGAGAGAGAAUCUGUCACUUUAGAAUCUGGUGAAAUAAACAAAACUAAUCAUUCGAUGGCGUGGUAUUUUAAUGACAUUCGCAUCGCUGAAAUCAUUGAAGAUCCAAGUGAAAUCUGUGCAGAUGAUCAGUGUAAAGAGAGAUUCAGAGACAGACUGAAGCUGGAUCAUCAGACUGGAUCUCUGACCAUCAUGAACACUAGAACCACAGACUCUGGAGUUUAUCAACUACAGAUCAACAGGAUCAGAUUCAGCAUCAUUAAGAGCUUCAUUGUUACUGUCACUGCUGUUCUAGCAGGAAUAUAUGCUUCUGUUCCUGUUGCUGCUGUUGUUGUUGUUGUUCUGCUGCUUGUUGCUGCUGCUGCUGCUGUGAUUUACUAUCGCUGGUGCCAUGCUAGAAUGACAGACCAUGUGAUGCAGGUCAGUGAUCAGAAUCACGCAGAAGACUUUUCCUCUUUUCAGACUGCAGCUCUGAUGGAUGAGACGUCCUCUAAUCAGUCUGAGACUCAUUCUGCCAAUGAGACAUCACAGUGACAUUAUUUUGAUUAUUUCAUUGAAAAUGAACAUGAAGAGAAGAUUGGAAAUGAGAGAAGAGAAUCAGCUGAAACUCAAAACACUCUACCAACACAAUACCAUGAUUUCAGUAUCAGGAGGAGGAGGAUGAGCUAAAGGGUCAGGCCCUGUCACGGUAAAACAUCCCAGAAAAUAAUGAAAAUGUUUUAAAUCCAAAACAUGUCUAAAAAGGUUACUGAAAUUCCUUGAUUGCAUGUUAACAGUUUUUAUGCUAGCAUGCUAGCAGGCUGAGUAAUAGCAGUUUAAAGUGGCCGACCGUCAGGCCUGUCACAUCAGGCUCCGUCACAUCCCUGUGAUCCUGUGACGCGGCCUUACAAAUGAAUGGCAUUGUUCUUUUUUAUUACCUUUAUUUUAUA